GAUCCCAUCAUUGCCGCACAGAUACUGCUCGGGGCUCGAAGGUUCAGGGCAAAUUCUCGGGUUACACAUCACACAGUAGGCGCUAUUUGUCUGAUCUACCACACACACAGAGCUGCCUGGACACAAGACAUCUCUGCACGAUUCUGUAAGACAGCAAUUAAAAACAAAAGCGAGAUUGAAGAUGAAGACUGACGAACUGGGCAAUUUCACACUGUCCUGAUACAUCUGGCGAAUAAUACCGACUGUUGAGCAAUUUGCAUCCGCAAAAACAAUAAAAGGAAAAGCAAGAGUUUUCAAAAAACAGAGUUGACACAGAAUUGAAGAGAUUGUUUUAAAGGUCAAAAUCAAAGAAACGUGAAGCUUGACUGGCAGCUUAAAGGUUGAGCUGACAUCUGAGGUAUGCUGUCAUCAUGAGCGCAAACCCGACUUGUACAACGUGCCGAAGAAUGUCAAGUCAAAGAAUCGAUUGACUGAUUUCUAGCCAUGAACACACUCCUGGAUACAACUGUCAGACAGGUUUCAUGUUUUUGCAAUUAAGGUGCUGGACAAUAAAGAUGACGGGUUUUUAUUGUAAUC